rnacentral:rRNA from 1 species
AACGAACGCUGGCGGCAUGCCUAACACAUGCAAGUCGAACGAGACCUUCGGGUCUAGUGGCGCACUGGUGCGUAACGCGUGGGAACCUGCCCUUAGGUUCGGAAUAACUCCCCGAAAGGGGUGCUAAUACCGGAUAAUGUCUUCGGACCAAAGAUUUAUCGCCUUUGGAUGGGCCCGCGUUGGAUUAGCUAGUUGGUAGGGUAAAAGCCUACCAAGGCGACGAUCCAUAGCUGGUCUGAGAGGAUGAUCAGCCACACUGGGACUGAGACACGGCCCAGACUCAUACGGGAGGCAGCAGUGGGGAAUAGUGGACAAUGGGCGAAAGGCUGAUCCAGCAAUGCCGCGUGAGUGAUGAAGGCCUUAGGGUUGUAAAGCUCUUUUACCCGGGAUGAUAAUGACAGUACCGGGAGAAUAAGCUCCGGCUAACUCCGUG